rnacentral:lncRNA from 1 species
UUUUUUUUUUUUUUUUUUUUGAGACAGGGUUUCUCUGUGUAGCCCUGGCUGUCCUGGAGCUCACUCGGUAGACCAGGUUGGCCUUGAACUCAGAAAUCCACCUGCCUCUGCCUCCCAAGUGCUGGGAUUAAAGGAGUGCAUGCGCCACCACUGCCUGGUGCUAUUACAUUUUCUUCUGUUUUCUGAAUUUGUUUAUUUUAAUAUUAAUUUUAAUAUUCGUUCCUUUUCAAAGAAUAUUUGUUUCCUUUUGGCCUUGAAAUGAGUUUUAAAGUGAACAAUCUUUUGAAUUCUGCAAGUGCUAAAAAGAAUCUUUAUUUAUUUACACUCAUCAGAGCAGGAGCAGGAAUACAUCAUUCCAUUCAUAUUCAGAAACUCAGUUUCUCUCUUUCUUGGCAUUUUCUCUUCCUAAUCCUAACCUGUAUUUUCUCUUGUCCACCAAUUAUUUUUUUCUUUUCCUUCAUAUCCUACAUAUAUUGUCUCUAAAAUGUAUCAGUUCUUCGGAGCUUUAGUUGGUUCUUCUAUUUAUUUUUUAUUUCUGAUCCAUUCAGUUAAUAACCACUGAGGCCUUGUCUGCAACUGAUAGGCAGUGAGUGAAGACAGUGAGUGCAGGCAGGUCACACAGAGCUAAGUGUAGCUCUGUCCCUGCCUUCAAGAUCACCACGCUGGGUGAGGUGGUGGCAUGUGAUACAAACAUAACAACAAUGGCAGAUUGUUUUGUUUGUGGGUAAAGACAUUCUGUAAGCUGAGGGUUGCCUAGCCAGCAAGUUUAAGUCUGCAUCUUAUAGGCUGUACCACAGAAGUCUUAUGGAGGGAAACUGUGCUGUGUGAGUUCAUUCUUAGAAAGGAGACUCUGUGAAGCUAACAGCAGGAAGGAAAGGCAACUAAGAAACUGUAGUUGUCUCCAGAUGAAAGGUGAGGGCUAUUGGCAUAAGAGCCCACAGUAGGGAUGGAGAAUAUAAUGUUUGAAGCAGAAUCUACAAACACUGGUGUGUGUAGUGUGGGGAUUAAAGGAUAUCACCAAAGGGUUUUUGUUUAUUAGUCUUAUAGAAAGUAAUGAUAGAACUGUUGAUCAACUGAGAUUGAGGAUAUGAGGGGAGGACAGAAACUAAUUUGGAGAUAGGCAAGAGAGAAUCUAUUUUAGUACUUGAUGAUGUUUAGGGAAACACCUAGAUGCUAAAAUGGGCCAGUCAAGGCUGGAGAUACGGUGUUUUACUCAUUUGCAUUGAGGAGAAUGCAACUUCCAAACAAUGGGUAUAAGCCCUUCAAAAUAGAGCAUUUAGGCAGAAAAUAAAACAGGCUCUUGGGAAAGGCCAAACUCUAUGUACAGGAAAUCAAAACAUAAUGAGCAUUUUAAUGUCUAGCAUGUAGUGGCUAAGUCUCCUCAAAUGGCUUUCUUGAUCUUCUCAACAGCCCUGUGCAUGGAAAUUAUUACUCUGCCUUGUGAGCCAGGAAACUAAGGCUCCAAGGCAAGCUAGGCAAGCAGUGGGAUUGCAAGCCAGGACCUAAUGCCAAGUCUGUGCUUUUCUGCUAGAAGCAAAGAAGUGACAAGUAGACAAGAUGAUUGCCUACAAGGAGCAAUGGUUAGCAGGCCACAUACUCAGAGAUGAGUAGGAUAAGGACACAUUAAAUCUCUGGGUUCUCAAAAAACUAAAAGCUUUGCCCACAUGCUCAGUUUCUAUAGAGUACCUAAGCCAGCCUGUCCUGGAUUCAGUGAGGACCAGGGAGCAGUUCUGUGUCAUAGAAACAAGAAGGAAACCUAGUUUGGGGGCUGUGGCUUCAUGGUUAAUUGUUCACAUAUGACAGCGUGUGCAUGUAUUGUUCACAUAUGAGGUAUUCUGAUUUGCUCAAGUCUUUAAACCUUUGAGGCCUAUAGCUCUUAGCUUGUCUUUUGACGUUAGAUAUUAUAAAAACAAGGGCCUUGAUCCCCUUUGUGCCAUCUGCUUGUUUAACUUGUUUACUUGAAAGUUAUUUUUGCUUUGUUCUAUUUUCUUUCUACAUGUUUUUAGAUGUUUCUAGACUGCAGACACUCUGGGGUAACUCUUUUGAUUGCUAUUUAUUCAUGAGACCCUGGGGGCUUCUUCUGUUUCUUCUCUCAGUUCUUUCUACUCUGGAAGUUGUUUCCUUCUGCCAUUUUAGUCUUGUUCAGCUCACUUUUCUCCAGAACUCUUAAUUCACAGGUUAUGACUUUCCUCUAGGAAACAGCGCUCUAACAACAGAGGCAGUGGUGCUAAAAGCCAAACUCUAAAGCAGGAUGCCUAGGUUGAAAUUUUGGCUAUGAACCAAAGGCAAGUUAUUUCCUGAGUGUCUCAGUUUGCUCAUCUGUAAACUUUGAGACAAUAAUAGUAUUGACUACCAGAGGUUGUGUUAGGGGUUAAAAGACAUACAACAUGUAAAACGUUCAGAACAGAUGACAUCUAGUAUGCCAUGUGAUACACCACUACUAACUUAGCAUUCUAAGGGGAGAAAUAGUGGGAGAGAUGAUCUCUUUGAUUGUCAUCUGACCCAUACAAACAAGCAAGAAUUCACAGACUGUUGGUUCCUUUACUUGAUGAUGAAAAAUAGGCAAUCAGAUAGUCUUCUCUUAUACUACCCUGAAUUCACCAGGGAACAUGUUAGUUUUGGCCAAAUGUAGCAUCUGGAGAUAUCCACUGCAGAUACCCACUGUAUGACCUCACUUUCCCUAUCUCAGUGUUCAAUUGAUCUUCCUUAACAAACCAUAAAAUUAUUUCCAUCCUCCAGGGUAGCUCUUCC